GUUGAACGCUGGCGGCAGGCCUAACACAUGCAAGUCGAGCGGAUGAGGGGAGCUUGCUCCCUGAUUUAGCGGCGGACGGGUGAGUAAUGCCUAGGAAUCUGCCUGGUAGUGGGGGAUAACGUUCCGAAAGGAACGCUAAUACCGCAUACGUCCUACGGGAGAAAGCAGGGGACCUUCGGGCCUUGCGCUAUCAGAUGAGCCUAGGUCGGAUUAGCUAGUUGGUGAGGUAAUGGCUCACCAAGGCGACGAUCCGUAACUGGUCUGAGAGGAUGAUCAGUCACACUGGAACUGAGACACGGUCCAGACUCCUACGGGAGGCAGCAGUGGGGAAUAUUGGACAAUGGGCGAAAGCCUGAUCCAGCCAUGCCGCGUGUGUGAAGAAGGUCUUCGGAUUGUAAAGCACUUUAAGUUGGGAGGAAGGGCUGCUGGUUAAUACCCUGCAGUUUUGACGUUACCAACAGAAUAAGCACCGGCUAACUUCGUG
rnacentral:rRNA from 1 species